GACGAACGCUGGCGGCGUGCUUAACACAUGCAAGUCGAACGAUGAUGCUGGAGCUUGCUCCAGUUGAUUAGUGGCGAACGGGUGAGUAACACGUGAGCAAUCUGCCCUUGACUCUGGGAUAACUGCGGGAAACUGUAGCUAAUACCGGAUACUUUCACCGGAAGGCAUCUUCUGGUGAUGAAAGAAUUUCGGUCAAGGAUGAGCUCGCGGCCUAUCAGCUUGUUGGUGAGGUAACGGCUCACCAAGGCGACGACGGGUAGCCGGCCUGAGAGGGUGACCGGCCACACUGGGACUGAGACACGGCCCAGACUCCUACGGGAGGCAGCAGUGGGGAAUAUUGCACAAUGGGCGCAAGCCUGAUGCAGCAACGCCGCGUGAGGGAUGAAGGCCUUCGGGUUGUAAACCUCUUUUAGCAGGGAAGAAGCGAAAGUGACGGUACCUGCAGAAAAAGCACCGGCUAACUACGUGCCAGCAGCCGCCGUAA
rnacentral:rRNA from 1 species